GACGAACGCUGGCGGCGUGCUUAACACAUGCAAGUCGAACGGUAAGGCUCCAGCUUGCUGGGGUACACGAGUGGCGAACGGGUGAGUAACACGUGGGUGACCUGCCCUGCACUUCGGGAUAAGCCUGGGAAACUGGGUCUAAUACCGGAUAGGACCAUGGUGUGGAUACUGUGGUGGAAAGUUUUUUCGGUGUGGGAUGGGCCCGCGGCCUAUCAGCUUGUUGGUGGGGUAAUGGCCUACCAAGGCGGCGACGGGUAGCCGGCCUGAGAGGGUGGACGACCACAUUGGGACUGAGACACGGCCCAGACUCCUACGGGAGGCAGCAGUGGGGAAUAUUGCACAAUGGGCGGAAGCCUGAUGCAGCGACGCCGCGUGGGGGAUGACGGCCUUCGGGUUGUAAACUCCUUUCACCAUCGACGAAGGGUUUCUGACGGUAGAUGGAGAAGAAGCACCGGCUAACUACGUG
rnacentral:rRNA from 1 species